GUUACAAUUAAUGUUUCGGGUUCGAAUGGCUCGAAACUUGAAAUUUCUCUCUCCUUUCGAUCUCUUCCUCUCUUAGCCGUUCACCCUCGCCUUUCUCACCUCUCUCACCUCUCUCACUCUCCUUAGCAGUUCCCUCUCGUCUCUCUCAACAAACCUCUCUCUCACUCUCGUCUCAUCCCUCUCUCCUCUCUACCUCUUCACUCUCGUCUCUCUCACUUGUCUCUUGAAGGAGUUCGAUCCACGAUGGAGGACGGAGGACGACGAACCACGACGAAUGGGAGUCUGCGACAGCGAAUCUGAGAUAAAAAAAUGGAUUCAAAUUCUACUAAUAAUACGGACAUGAGAUUAAAGCCAAGGUAUUGUAAUUGUGGAAGAGUAGCUUCCAUGCGUAUUGUACAAAGCAAUGACAAUGGAAAUCAAGGACGUGUCUAUUUUGUUUGCCCAAGAAAAUAUGAACGAACACUGCAAUUACUUCAGGUGGUUCGCAGAUGAUGACAACGACGACGACAUUACCUCCACAAUCCGUGCCACUGCUGGACCUCGGACAGAUUCAACAACAGAAGAAAUUAAUGAUCUAAAGAGAAGGGUUGGUGAGCAUGAUAGACGGCUUCAAAGGAUGGAGAAAAUUUUCAAGGAAAUGACUUAUGUAAUUGUAUUUUUUGUAUUUUUAUACUUUAUCAUGUAAAUGACUCAGUUGUUAGGUUUUGGAACAUGUUAUGACUGUAAUCUACUUUUCUACUUGUUUUGUAAUUUUUUUUUAGUGCUUAAAAAUCUGAUGGUUUGAAAAAACAAGUGUAUAACAGGUUUGUUUGAGAUGAAAUGUGUUGAAUGAACAGUGUGUGGAAUCUGUUGAAUUU